UUUAAUUGUGCAUUUUUAUCUACUUGACGUGUGGAUAUUAUUUGAACUGCUCCUGCUAUCCCCGUUUCAUUUAUUAAAGUUUUCAUUAGUAUUUUUUAACACCAAUCACCAUAUUGCAUUUGUUAUCGCUAUUGUCGGAGAGUUUAAAAAAGCUAAAAGUUAAAAAGGUUGGUAGCUAGUGAAAAUUAAACUGAUAACUUUAUAAAGAUUUUGAACUUGUUCGAUCAUUAAAUUAUAUUUUUAAAUUAUUUUAAAAAUAUUUUAUAUAUAAUAUAUAAAAAUAAAUAAAUUU
rnacentral:lncRNA from 1 species